rnacentral:lncRNA from 1 species
UGGCUAACAGAACAAACUCCUCUGAGUAUUUUUGGUCGUAUGAAUAUUAUUGGGAUUAUAUAGAUCCAAUUCCAGUAGAUGGAAGCAAGUUGAAGGUUAAUAAAUAUUCUAUUGUCAUAGCCUUUUGGGUUGGUCUUGCUGCGUUUGUGACAUUUCUUUUCCUUAUUUUACUGUAUAUGUCCCGCUCUGGAUCAACUCCAGUAAAACAAGUGAUUGUAGGGAACCAGAUAGAAGAAAGCAGUUCCAGCAGUGAACAGCCUCACUGCGAUGAUCUCAGCAGCCCAUACCCAGAUGUGGUUGCUUCUCAAACACCUCCCUCUCUGUCAGGUGAAACUGGCAUUCAUGGAAGGAUCUGAGCCUGAGCUAAAACUGGAACAGGUUUAACAAAACCAGCAACACAGUUCUGAUCAACAGAGAAAACUCAGUGCUGUGACUGCCUGUUAAACACUGAUACCACAAACCUUGAAUUAGUUCAGGAGAAGAAGAAAAAUGUCUUUCACCAAAGGACAAACCGGAAAAAUCCUGGAUGCGUAAGAGGAACUCCUAACAGCCAUUUUUGAGCAAUGCUGACUGAUCAGCAUUUUAGAUCAACAUUUUAGAUCCUGAUGAUGAAGACUGUAGAAUUUCUCUAUCUUUUUUUAAGUAAGGGUUCGAACUCCUCUCCCGGUUAUGUGUUGCAAAGGGUGUGCUGCAGGUUGAGUGGUUCUCAUUCAGACCCACUUGGCUGAGAGCAGAUUUAUUCCUCCAGUCUAUCCCAGUUAUGCCCCAAGUCCUGUAAAGGGUUUUGUCUUGCUCAGCUGAACACACACUGGGUCCUGUUAUCCUCAGGGGUGUGUCUGCAGCAUUCACUGAGUUGUCUUGCUGUGAUGGAAGAAAACAGCAUCCCAUUGAUCUCACUGAAGGGGCAGCAUAACCUAUGUUGUUUAUAUAUGAGAGCCACGAGUCAUCUAUUUCUGGUUCUGCCCUCAGGUCACACUCAUCAGCUGCACCUUAGUGACACCUCCACUUGCCCAUCCACUGAAAAACGAGCAACAAUGUCGAGUGCAACAUCAACAAUAAAACUUUGCUUUUAGAAAGGUUACAACUUGCUUCACUAACUUAAAGCUCAGCA